CCUACGGGGGGCUGCAGUGGGGAAUAUUGGACAAUGGGCGCAAGCCUGAUCCAGCAAUGCCGCGUGUGUGAAGAAGGCCUGCGGGUUGUAAAGCACUUUAAGCCGGAAAGAAGGCUGCAAGGCUAAUAUCCUUGUCGAUUGACGUUACCGGCCGAAUAAGCACCGGCUAACUCCGUGCCAGCAGCCGCGGUAAUACGGAGGGUGAGUGCGUUAAUCGGAAUGCGCGUAGGUAAAGCGCGCGUAGGGGGGUGAAAGCCCUGGGCUUAACCUGGGAACGGCAGUGGAAACUGGAGGGCUAGAGUAUGGUAGAGGAGGGUGGAAUUUCCGGUGUAGCAGUGAAAUGCGUAGAGAUCGGAAGGAACACCAGUGGCGAAGGCGGCUCUCUGGACCAAUACUGACGCUGAGGUGCGAAAGCGUGGGGAGCAAACAGGAUUAGAUACCCCGGUAGUC
rnacentral:rRNA from 1 species